AUGGCCAGCGGAUGCGAGGUCGGUUGCGAAGAGGUGCUAACGAGGAAGCGACGUGGCUCCUCGUGCUAUGGGUACGAGGCACGGCCCACGCACCUCUUAGCUCAUCGUACCCGUUGUCCGACCUCGGCUCCUCUGGGCUCAUCACACCUGUGGUCCGACCUCGGCCUCGGCUCUUCGCGCUUCAAUUAAGGUGGGUCGGACGAGCACAGGCGCACAGAACCUCGGACGAGCAGGGGCAGGGCCUAGCGAGCACAAGCACAUGCGCAAAGAACCUUGGCUCGGACAAGCACAGGCACAGCUCGGAUGCAGAGAACCUCGGCUCGGACAAGCACAGGCACAGAGAACCUCGGCUCGGACAAGCACAGGCCCAACGAGCAGAAGAGAACCGAGCUUUACGUAAUAGAAAUAAA
rnacentral:lncRNA from 1 species